AGCGAACGCUGGCGGCAGGCUUAACACAUGCAAGUCGAGCGGGCAUCCUUGUGGUGUCAGCGGCAGACGGGUGAGUAACGCGUGGGAACGUGCCCUUCGGUUCGGAAUAACUCAGGGAAACUUGAGCUAAUACCGGAUACGUGCGAGAGCAGAAAGGUUUAUCUGCCGAAGGAUCGGCCCGCGUCUGAUUAGCUAGUUGGUGAGGUUAUGGCUCACCAAGGCGACGAUCAGUAGCUGGUCUGAUAGGAUGAUCAGCCACACUGGGACUGAGACACGGCCCAGACUCCUACGGGAGGCAGCAGUGGGGAAUAUUGGACAAUGGGGGCAACCCUGAUCCAGCCAUGCCGCGUGAGUGAUGACGGCCUUAGGGUUGUAAAGCUCUUUUCUCCGGGACGAUAAUGACGGUACCGGAGGAAUAAGCCCCGGCUAACUUCGUG
rnacentral:rRNA from 1 species